rnacentral:rRNA from 1 species
AACGAACGCUGGCGGCGUGGAUAAGACAUGCAAGUCGAACGAGAGAAUUGCUAGCUUGCUAAUAAUUCUCUAGUGGCGCACGGGUGAGUAACACGUGAGUAACCUGCCCCCGAGAGCGGGAUAGCCCUGGGAAACUGGGAUUAAUACCGCAUAGUAUCGAAAGAUUAAAGCAGCAAUGCGCUUGGGGAUGGGCUCGCGGCCUAUUAGUUAGUUGGUGAGGUAACGGCUCACCAAGGCGAUGACGGGUAGCCGGUCUGAGAGGAUGUCCGGCCACACUGGAACUGAGACACGGUCCAGACACCUACGGGUGGCAGCAGUCGAGAAUCAUUCACAAUGGGGGAAACCCUGAUGGUGCGACGCCGCGUGGGGGAAUGAAGGUCUUCGGAUUGUAAACCCCUGUCAUGUGGGAGCAAAUUAAAAAGAUAGUACCACAAGAGGAAGAGACGGCUAACUCUGUGCCAGCAGCCGCGGUAAUACAGAGGUCUCAAGCGUUGUUCGGAAUCACUGGGCGUAAAGCGUGCGUAGGCUGUUUCGUAAGUCGUGUGUGAAAGGCGCGGGCUCAACCCGCGGACGGCACAUGAUACUGCGAGACUAGAGUAAUGGAGGGGGAACCGGAAUUCUCGGUGUAGCAGUGAAAUGCGUAGAUAUCGAGAGGAACACUCGUGGCGAAGGCGGGUUCCUGGACAUUAACUGACGCUGAGGCACGAAGGCCAGGGGAGCGAAAGAGAUUAGAUACCCCUGUAGUCCUGGCAGUAAACGGUCCACAAAAGGUGUGCGGGGAGUAGACCCCCCGCGUGCCGGAGCUAACGCGUUAAGCGUGCCGCCUGGGGAGUACGGUCGCAAGAUUAAAACUCAAAGAAAUUGACGGGGACCCGCACAAGCGGUGGAGUAUGUGGCUUAAUUCGAUGCAACGCGAAGAACCUUACCUGGGCUUGACAUGUAAUGAACAACAUGUGAAAGCAUGCGACUCUUCGGAGGCGUUACACAGGUGUUGCAUGGCCGUCGUCAGCUCGUGUCGUGAGAUGUUUGGUUAAGUCCAGCAACGAGCGCAACCCCUGUUGCCAGUUACCAGCACGUGAAGGUGGGGACUCUGGCGAGACUGCCCAGAUCAACUGGGAGGAAGGUGGGGAGGACGUCAGGUCAGUAUGGCCCUUAUGCCCAGGGCUGCACACAUACUACAAUGCCCAGUACAGAGGGGGCGGAAGCCGCGAGGCGGAGGAAAUCCUGAAAACUGGGCCCAGUUCGGACUGUAGGCUGCAACCCGCCUACACGAAGCCGGAAUCGCUAGUAAUGGCGCAUCAGCUACGGCGCCGUGAAUACGUUCCCGGGUCUUGCAC